rnacentral:rRNA from 1 species
AGUAACGGCGAGUGAAGCGGGAAGAGCUCAAAUUUAAAAUCUGGCGGUGUAUUCCGUCCGAGUUGUAGUCUAGAGAAGCAUCAUCCGUGCUGGACCAUGUACAAGUCUCUUGGAACAGAGCGUCAUAGAGGGUGAGAAUCCCGUCCUUGACAUGGACUCCCAGUACUUUGUGUUGUGCUCUCAACGAGUCGAGUUGUUUGGGA